CACGUAGGGCGCAAGCGUUGUCCGGAAUUAUUGGGCGUAAAGAGCGUGUAGGCGGCCUGACAGGUCUGCUGUGAAAACUCGAGGCUCAACCUCGAGACGUCGGUUGAAACCGUAUGGCUAGAGUCCGGAAGAGGAGAGUGGAAUUCCCGGUGUAGCGGUGAAAUGCGCAGAUAUCGGGAAGAACACCCGUGGCGAAGGCGGCUCUCUGGGACGGUACUGACGCUGAGACGCGAAAGCGUGGGGAGCGAACAGG
rnacentral:rRNA from 1 species